UUCCAAGGAACGGAGAAGCUGCCGUGCAGGGCUGGAGUGUGAUGAGCAAGGCAGGAACAGCACAUCAUCCGGUGAGAGAAGCAGACAGCGGCCAGGCCACACAGAGCCCUGCAGGGCACGCUGGCAGAGUUGCUUGAAAUGAAGCCGUUCCCUGAAAAGCACACAUGAAUUUCCCCUGCGGAAAAUUCAAACAGACACACUUGAGGAUUUCCACUAAAUUCUCUCUGGCCCCCAGAGCACUGGGGAAGCAUGUGAGACCUGUGCCAUCCCGGAACUGUGGCGACAAUGGUAGUUAACGUCCAUCAUCUGCAGGCACCUUCAGGAUGUGGAGCAUGCAGAGAUGACUCACGCCCACACCGGUGACCUCCAACACACCAGGGAAGGCAGGAAAAGGCUGUGUGCCAGGAUCUUGUUCUGGGCUAGAAAAGUAUGCCUGUUCGUUACCCGACCUUUGCUAAGUACACCAACUAAUGGAGCGAGAGACAUGAAAGAUCUUCACAGGCCAUGUGGAAAUGUAAUUCAAACCCAGCCCGAGGAGGUCAUAUUUUUCCUGGAUUCGACUUCCAGCCGCAUCAGAGCUGCCUAGGUGAGACGCAGCAGGAGAAGAGCC
rnacentral:lncRNA from 1 species